UACUGCAUGAGGUGUUUGGUUAUAUUGCCCUAGGCUUGUGACUAACAGCUAAUAUGUUAGCUAGUUUAUAAUAUAAGUGGGAACUUGAUUUAUUGUCUCAAGAAAUAUUUGUUUGGGCCAGGCACGGUGGUUCCUGCUUGUAAUCCCAGCACUUUGGGAGGCUGAAGCAGGUAGAUCAGCUGAGGUCAGGAAUUCAAGACCAGCCUGGCCAACAUAGUGAAACCCUGUGUCUACUCAAAAUACAAAAAAAUUAGCUGAGUGUGGGGGGCACACACCUGUAAUCCCAGCUACUCUGGAGGAUGAAGCAGGAGAAGCGCCUGAACCCAGGAGGAGGUGGAGAUUGCAGUGAGCUGAGAUCAUGCCACUGCACUUCAUCCUGGGCAACAGGGUGAGACUCCAUCUCAAAAAAAAAAAAAUAUAAUAAUUGUUUGAACAUGUUAACAUCAAAUACAUUUGCUCUGUUUUGGAAUGUAUUUAUUAAUAUGUCCUUUUUAUAAAAAACCUUUUCCCCCCUCUGUGAAAAUAUCUCCACAUAGAACCCAUCAGCAUCUGCAACAGUUACCAAUAUUUUGCCAGUUUUGUUUCAUGGAUUUUUUCUCCCUUCCCUCUUUUCCCUGAAUUAUUCUAAAGCAAAUCUCACAUCAUGUCACUUCCCAAUAAAUAGUUCAAUAUGUAUCUCUAACCGAAUAUUUUUUCAGAUCUUUUAUAUCAUUAUCAUAACUAAUGAAAUAAGUAAUUUUUUAAUUAAAAAAAAUUUUUUUUGUUAUUCUUUUCUUAGUAUUGUGAAAAUGGAAUAAGUAAAUCUUUAGUAUCAUCUAAUACCUAGUCCUUAUUCAGACAUUUGUUAUUGGUUUAAAAAAUUAUUUUUCCUUUUCGGUUUUAGUGAAUCUAUAAAGUGAUAGGUAGACUUUGAAAGUUGAAUAAUGAAAUACACUACUUAGUAAAGUGUCACGAAUUUGUACUAACUUGUAAGAAUCUGAAUUGAUUUUAAACAUUUGGAUUAUGGCAUUGUUCUGAAGAAGUGUGCCUAUUCAUUGCUUCCAUAUUCAUCAGGAACCAAAUUUAGGAAAGGUUGUCCUUGGGGCAUUUGUGUUAAUGAAUGAACUCCAGCCAGCAACUUAGGAUCUAUCUGCUCAUCUCAAAAUAACAGCCUGAUUUCUCUGUGGCGCUUCUCCUCUCUUGAUGACAUUAGUGAUGUUUUGUUCAUACACUAAGACUAUACCAAUUUAGAGAGGGUGAGAAGCAGCAUCUUCCUUCCUUUCCUUCCUUUCCUUCCUUCCUUCGUUUCCUUCCUUCCCUCCCUCCCUCCCUCCCUCCCUUCCUUCCUUCCUUCCUUCCCUUCCUUCCCUUCCUUUCCUUCCUUUUCUUUCUUUUCUUUUUCUUCUCACUUCAGCCUUCCCAGUAGCUGAGAUUACAGGCGUGUAUCAUCAGGCCUGGCUAAUUUUUAUAUUUUUUGUAGAGCCAGUGUUUUGCUGUGUUGCCAAGCCUGGUCUCAAGCUCCUCACCUCAAGCAGUCCACCUGCCUCAGCCUCCCAAAGUGUUGGGAUCACAGGCAUGAGCCACCACUCCUGGCCAACACUUCUUAAUAGAAAAGUUAGACAUUCAUUUUUUAAUGAAGAAAUAAUUAUUUGUAAUUAGCAUUUCACUGAUCAUAUUUAAACAGCUAUUUCUGAACUAUUUUAAUUCUAGAAGAUAAUUUCAUUUUUGGUCCUUAAAUAUUCCAGAUCAUUGGUUCUCAAAUCAGGCUAUGCAGCAGUAUCAUCUUGGUGUGGGUCAAAUGAGUAACUCUCUGCAUACAAGGUUAGAACACUGGAUCCACGUCAUUCCCCUGAAAUAGUGCCCUUUUAAAUUUGCCUAGUAAUCCCUUCUCUGUGCCCCCGCCCCCAUAAGUAUAGAUAAUUAAAUUUAUAGUUUACAUCUGUUCUCUUAAAAACUGGAUUCUGUCAGCCUCUUAAUUUAUAAUGUCUGAAUUAAUAGUUAUCUUUUUCUUGUAUUUCUUUUGUGGUGAUUCACUUUAGUAAUUACAUAUAAGUGAAAAUGCUGAAAGUUUAAAAAAUCUCCCCCUGCCCCUACUAGUUAAAUAUAACUCUUUAACAUAAGCAAAAGGUUUUCUAGAGCAGGGAUUUACAAAUCUGGCUAGCCCCCUGUUAUUUUAGUCUUCAAACCAAUGGUUUAUUUAUACGUAUGUGUGUAUACACACACACAUGUUUAUAUAUACAUAAUGGUUUAUUUAUACGUAUGUGUGUAUACACACACACAUGUUUAUAUAUACAUAAAUGUAUGUAUAUGUACAUAUAUAACUAUAUAUAUUUUUAAAGAGAUAGGGUCUUGCUCUGUAUUGCAGACUGGAGUGCAGUGGGGCCAUCAUAGCUCACUGCAGCCCCAAACUCUUGGACUCAAGUAAUCUUCCUGCCUUGGACUCCCGAAGCGCUGGGAUUACAGGCGAUUUGUAUAUAAGUACUUUAUCAUUAAUUGUGCCUCCUGGCAAAGCCUACAAUAUUUUCUGGGCCUCUUUCUGGAGCAAAUAACUUUCUCUAGUAGUAUUUCUUUUAAAGGGUAUGCUGUAGUCCAGCUCAUCUUGUAGAUGAAUACAAAGGAGACUUCAUGUUAAUAGACCCCCCUCCCCUCCCACUUUUAUAAAAAUAUGAGCUGGAAAUCUCCAUUUCAACAUAAAAUAUUCUGAUUUUAAAAUAUUGGCAAUGAAUUCAGAAUUCUAAAAGACAUUUUCUGGUUACCUCAUUAUGUACUAUGUAUGUUUGUAAGCUUAUAGUUCAUAACUUCUGAGCUAGCAGGUCCUGAAAAAGGGUGCCAGGUCAUGAUUCUGCAAGCCUAUGUAAUAUUUUUGGUGACUCUAGACUCUUAUUUUCUUCUCCAUUGGCUUUAUUUCUGUUGUGUAAGUCGGGCUACAAUAAAGGAAACAAAUGCAAAUGUGUUUUAAGUAAAACUGAAAUUUUGCCAAUUGUUAAUUAAACCCAUUUCUAAAUGGAAUCCUUAGCCAGUUUGGCAGUAGGAAAUUGUUAAAAUCAAUUGAUGUCUUCUCUUCUGUGGUUGAGGAAUUGGAUAUUUUUUCAAACAGUUUUUCAGUAGCAUUAUCAAGUUAGUAUAUAUAUAAAUUAGAAGUUAAUAAAGGAUCAAGAUCCAAUGACUGCAUUAAAGAAACUACACUGUAAAUACUUCAUUACAGUUUUAUGCCGUAAUAUAUUAGAUAUGGUUAAUUUUAUUCCAUUUUAAAAGCUUUUUUUCUGGAUCUGGCAGACUCUGGAUCAUCAUUAUGAACAUUAGCUUGUCAUUGCAUUGCAGCCAUGUGGAACUCUUGGCUGUUGGAUCCUCUUGGGCUCUUAGAAUACCAAGUUUCAGCUAGGUAUUUUUCUAAAUGGAAGACAGCACAUAAUGCAGUACAAGUCUCAAAAGUGAGAACUGGGCAAGUUAGUAUAGCCAAAAUAAGAGAACUGUGUCGUGGUGGCUUUGGGUAAUUUUUGCUGGCUUGACAAUCUCUGAGGUUUGGUGUAUGUUCAGUUUGGGUUUCGACAAUUGGGAUCUGUCAGAAGAUAGUGAAAGCAAUAGAGUCAGUAUUGUGAUGGAUUAGUUCAGUGAUAUGAUCUCUGAAAUGUAAGAUUAUUCCAGGGUCAGCCUGUUAAAAACUGGGUGAGUUUGGAGGUCAUUCUGUGAGAAGUGGGUAUGAGGAAGGAUUUCAAAUAAACUUAGAAGACUGCUUUAAUUUUGAAUACUACUUGCUUUUCUCUUUAACACAUUGGCAGAAAAGAGUUGGAAAAUAUUUUGAGGAAAGUAAGGCAAUUUAUUCAAAUAUAAUAUUUAUUUUGCUUUGAAGAAUAAUACAUUAAAUAUUGGGCAAUGCACUAUAGAUGCAUAAAAGGAUUUUUGAUGGCAAUAAUUGGCAAUAUAGUAUUUAAAAACAAAUUUCAGGCUGGGUAUGAUGGCUCAUGCCUGUAAUCCUAGCACUUUGGGAGGCUGAGGUGGGUGGAUCACUUGAGGUCAGGAGUUCCAGACCAGCCUGGCCAACAUGGUGAAAUCCCAUCUCUUCUAAAAAUACAAAAAAAUGUAGCCAGGUGUGGUGGUAUGUGCCUCUAAUCCCUGUUACUUGGGAGGCUGAGGCAAGGAGAAUAGUUUGAACCUGGGAGGCAGAGGCUGCAAUGAACUCAGAUCGCACCACGGAACCCCAGCUGGGUAAAAGAGUGAGACUCUGUCUCAAAAAAAAUAAAAUUUAAAUUAAAAAAAAUCAUUUCAGUCACUGUCAUUACUUGCUUUGAAACAUUUAUAUGUCGUUUAAAAAAUCAAAAUGAGGCCUAGAGUGCACCAAGAUGGCCGCCCCCGUGGAUCUUGAGCUGAGGAAGGCCUUCACAGAGCUUCAGGCCAAAGUUAUUAACACUCAGCAGAAGUCGUGAAGCUGGCAGACAUACAGAUCGAACAGCUAAACAGAACAAAGAACCAUGCACAUCUUAGAGAUACAGAAAUCCUGACUUUGGUAGAUGAGACUAACACAUAUGAAAGUGUAGGAAGAAUGUUUAUUCUUCAGUCCAAGGAAGCAAUUCACAAUCAACUGUUAGAGAAGCAAAAAAUAGUAGAAGAAAACAUUAGCUAGAACAGAAAAAGUCCUACCUGGAGCGGAGCGUUAAGGAAGCUGAGGACAACAUCAGGGAGAUGCUGAUGGCACGAAGGGCCUAGUAGGGAGCCUCUCCCAUUCCUGAUGAGGGCAGAGGAGUCUCUACAGGGAAACAGCUCCUCCUCUGCCCCAUGGACACUUCAUCUGGAUGGCCUGGCAGCGUCACAUUUUCUGCAUCACCCUGAGCCCCUUUUGCUUCCCAGCCCUGGAGUUUUUACCCUGGCUUUUCUUCCCACCUCGGCCCAGGACACUCUUCCCUCUCAGGGUGUGUGAUGAACUCCCAGGAGAGGGAAGAUGGGAGCCAGGGCAGAUAGGAAGCUCUGCCUGAGCUUUCCACUAGGCAUGCCAGCCAGACCAAUAAAAAGUGUCCACUCUGCUAAGCCUGCUUUUCUUGAGCCAAGGGAUGGAACAGAGGGUUAGGGAGGCAGUGGCCUCCACCUCAGCUCCUGCUCCCUCUGCGUUGGAUGGGCUCUUGCCCUCUUCUCUUUUCCCUUCCUGUACCUUUCACUAACCCCUCAGCUCCCGGGCCUGCAUGCAGUAGACAAGAGGAAGAAAGAACACUGACAUUCACAGCUGAAUAAGUGAACGGGAUAGCAGUCCCUGGAUGGCAGUCUGCCUCAAGAUUCCUUUUCCUGCCUUCUCCCAUACAUUCCAAAAGGAAGUUCAACAGUCAGCAGCACCUCCGAGACUAUCGCCUUCAGGCCAGUAUCAUAAGAUGGAUGCUGUAAUCCUGAGGCCUCCUAGAGGCUGAGGGCAGCAGUAUGCUCCAGCUGGCUCGUCCCAGCCCAGGUGGGCCAGUUACUCAAUUUUUAAGAAUUUUGUUGCAAGCCACUUGUUAAACACAGCCAUUAUAAUUAUGUAAAUGUGCAAAUUAUGUUAAAAACAAGGACAAUAAAUAUUUAAAAU